rnacentral:rRNA from 1 species
GUCUAUGACCAUGCCACCCUGAACAAGCCCAGUGUCUGAUCUCGGAAGCUUAAGCAGGGUGGGGCUUGGUUAGUACUUGGAUGGGAGACCACCUAGAACGACUAGGUGCUUUAGGCA